ensembl:misc_RNA Metazoa_SRP Metazoan signal recognition particle RNA
GCCGGGCGUGGUGGCUCAUGCCUGUAAUCCUAGCACUUUGGGAGGCUGACGUGGGUGGAUCACCUGAGGUCAGGAGUUCGAGACCAGCCUGGCCAACAUGGUGAAACCCCAUCUCUU